rnacentral:tRNA from 1 species
CGUCACGUGACCGAGAGGCUAGGUUAAGGGCUGCAAAUCCUUAUACGGUGGUUCGAAUCCACCCGUGACCACUA